UGGGGAAUAUUGGACAAUGGGCGAAAGCCUGAUCCAGCCAUGCCGCGUGUGUGAAGAAGGUCUUCGGAUUGUAAAGCACUUUAAGUUGGGAGGAAGGGCAGUGAGCGAAUACCUUGCUGUUUUGACGUUACCGACAGAAUAAGCACCGGCUAACUCUGUGCCAGCAGCCGCGGUAAUACAGAGGGUGCAAGCGUUAAUCGGAAUUACUGGGCGUAAAGCGCGCGUAGGUGGUUCGUUAAGUUGAAUGUGAAAGCCCCGGGCUCAACCUGGGAACUGCAUCCAGAACUGGCGAGCUAGAGUAGGGCAGAGGGUGGUGGAAUUUCCUGUGUAGCGGUGAAAUGCGUAGAUAUAGGAAGGAACACCAGUGGCGAAGGCGACCACCUGGGCUCAUACUGACACUGAGGUGCGAAAGCGUGGGGAGCAAACAGG
rnacentral:rRNA from 1 species